GAUGGAGUUCACUGAAGCUGAGAGUAAUAUGAAUGAUUUGGUUUCGGAGUACCAGCAGUACCAGGAUGCGACUGCUGAAGAAGAGGAGUAUGAGGAUGAGGACGAGGAUGAAGGCAUUCAGGAGUGAUUUUUUUAAAGUUUUGCGCGUAUGCUCUUCUCAAGCGUGUGCUCUUCUAGGUAACUUCGAGUUAUGUUUGCUUUCAUUUGCUUUGGUUUGGAUCAUGAAUGUAAUAUCCCAUUGAUUUGUUUCUAGAUUUCUGGCCAUUGUUUGUGGGAUUAUCAGUGUAUUAUUAAGUGGUGCUCUAGUUAAGUUAUCUUACAUUUGAAUAAGAGGUAUGAAGAGAGAUUGAAGAGAA
rnacentral:misc_RNA from 1 species